AAUAUUGACCAGAAAUUUGCCUGGAGGGAGGUCAUACACUUCAGGCUGUGCAUGACUGCCGUUAUCGCCUUAUCUGUAAUGUCAUCUUGUUUGUUAUUCGGCUGUGAGAGGUGUGGAUGGAUGGGGCAGGUACAGUAGCUGCAGAAAGAGUAUAAAACAGGGCUGCAGAGGGCAGAGAGACACCACACUACUACUGAAGACCAGAAGACAUCAUCCAGAUAAACAGCCAUCAAUCAGACAGCAUCGUCCAACUUAAAGGAUGAAGAUCCAGAGUAUGUUACUGCUGUUCGCUCUAGUGGGUGUCCUGUUAGCAAGCUCCCUCAAUGAAGAUAACUCUGAGGAAGCUCUCCUGCAGGAGGAUGAUCUAAAAAGUGGAAAGGCUGCAUUUUUGGCAAAGUUGGCUGCUCUGAAGACCAGCGCCUCUGAAGAUGAAGCACCAUCAUCAUGGUUCCAUCAUCAUCAUCAUCAUCAUCAUCAUCAUCAUCAUCAUCAUCACCAUGGAUGAUGAGGUACCACGGACGAUUCUUUCCUGGUCUCCAUAUGGAAUCAACAUAACUAACAUUGCCCUACAUGCAUUCAUCCAUUCAUGAUGGCAAUGUUGUAUUGUGAUCCUCCAAUAAAAUAGUCCUUUCACACA